AUCCAGCUGAUCAGUCCCAGAUAGGAUGAAACGCGUGUUCUGGAU
rnacentral:hammerhead_ribozyme from 1 species